rnacentral:rRNA from 7 species
UAGUGGCGAACGGGUGAGUAACACGUGGGCAAUCUGCCCUUCACUCUGGGACAAGCCCUGGAAACGGGGUCUAAUACCGGAUAAUACUUCUGCCUGCAUGGGCGGGGGUUGAAAGCUCCGGCGGUGAAGGAUGAGCCCGCGGCCUAUCAGCUUGUUGGUGGGGUGAUGGCCUACCAAGGCGACGACGGGUAGCCGGCCUGAGAGGGCGACCGGCCACACUGGGACUGAGACACGGCCCAGACUCCUACGGGAGGCAGCAGUGGGGAAUAUUGCACAAUGGGCGAAAGCCUGAUGCAGCGACGCCGCGUGAGGGAUGACGGCCUUCGGGUUGUAAACCUCUUUCAGCAGGGAAGAAGCGAAAGUGACGGUACCUGCAGAAGAAGCGCCGGCUAACUACGUGCCAGCAGCCGCGGUAAUACGUAGGGCGCAAGCGUUGUCCGGAAUUAUUGGGCGUAAAGAGCUCGUAGGCGGCUUGUCGCGUCGGAUGUGAAAGCCCGGGGCUUAACCCCGGGUCUGCAUUCGAUACGGGCAGGCUAGAGUGUGGUAGGGGAGAUCGGAAUUCCU